GUUGGGAACAAUCCCAGAUGUAGAAAUAUCCCACCAUGGGUGAAACUUCCUGAAAGAUCCAGAGGUGCUCCAGGUCCAGAUGCAGCUGCUGGAAGCCAUGUUUGGCCCAGACUGAUCUCAAAUCCCUUACAUCGAGCAGGUGAGCAAGGUCAUGCUCGUGCUGAAGGCUCUGGAGUCUUCAGACCUCACCGAGGUUGUCGGUUACGGCUUCUAUUUAUACAAGUGCCAGACCAAGUGGAUGCCCCAGUCCAUGGCUGAGUGGCACUGCCAGUGCCAGGAGCGAGGGAUGCUCAAACUUGUGGAAAGCAUGAAUGCCGUCAAACUACGCCCUUGGGUGAAG
rnacentral:lncRNA from 1 species